AUCGCAGGCUGNAACCCGCCUGCGUGAAGUCGGAAUCGCUAGUAAUCGCGGAUCAGCAUGCCGCGGUGAAUACGUUCCCGGGCCUUGUACACACCGCCCGUCACACCAUGAGAGUCGGGAACACCCGAAGUCCGUAGCCUAACCGCAAGGAGGGCGCGGCCGAAGGUGGGUUCGAUAAUUGGGGUGAAGUCGUAACAAGGUAGC
rnacentral:rRNA from 1 species